rnacentral:rRNA from 1 species
UACGGAGGGAGCUAGCGUUGUUCGGAAUUACUGGGCGUAAAGCGCGCGUAGGCGGCCUUGCAAGUUAGAGGUGAAAGCCCGGAGCUCAACUCCGGAACUGCCUUUAAAACUGCAUAGCUUGAAUCCGGGAGAGGUGAGUGGAAUUCCGAGUGUAGAGGUGAAAUUCGUAGAUAUUGGGAAGAACACCGGUGGCGAAGGCGGCUCACUGGCCCGAAACUGACGCUCAUGCACGACAGCGUGGGGAUCAAACAGG